rnacentral:rRNA from 1 species
GACGAACGCUGGCGGCGUGCCUAACACAUGCAAGUCGAACGAGGUCCAAGGGAGCUUGCUCCCUGAAGACCUAGUGGCGAACGGGUGAGUAACACGUGAGAAACCUGCCCUCGAGUGGGGAAUAACCCGGGGAAACCCGGGCUAAUACCGCAUACGCUCCUCUGGUCGCAUGGCCGGAGGAGGAAAGUUUUUCGCUCAAGGAGGGUCUCGCGGCCUAUCAGCUUGUUGGCGGGGUAGCGGCCCACCAAGGCUACGACGGGUAGCUGGUUUGAGAGAACGAUCAGCCACACUGGGACUGAGACACGGCCCAGACUCCUACGGGAGGCAGCAGUGGGGAAUCUCGCGCAAUGGGCGAAAGCCUGACGCAGCAACGCCGCGUGCGGGAUGACGGCCUUCGUGGUUGUAAACCGCUUUCAGCAGGGACGAAAAUGACGGUACCUGCAGAAGAAGCUCCGGCUAACUACGUGCCAGCAGCCGCCGUAA